rnacentral:rRNA from 1 species
UACGAAGGGGGCUAGCGUUGUUCGGAAUUACUGGGCGUAAAGCGCGCGCAGGCGGCUAUCCAAGUCAGUGGUGAAAGCCCGGAGCUCAACUCCGGAACUGCCAUUGAAACUGUUUAGCUUGAGGACGAGAGAGGUGAGUGGAAUUCCCAGUGUAGAGGUGAAAUUCGUAGAUAUUGGGAAGAACACCGGUGGCGAAGGCAGCCCCCUGGGCUGACACUGACGCUCAGGCACGAAAGCGUGGGGAGCAAACAGG